rnacentral:misc_RNA from 1 species
GAUGAAGAACGUAGCGAAAUGCGAUACGUAAUGUGAAUUGCAGAAUUCAGUGAAUCAUCGAAUCUUUGAACGCAUAUUGCGCUCUCUGGUAUUCCGGAGAGCAUGCUUGUUUGAGUAUCAGUAAACACCUCAACUCCCCUUUCUUUUUUUGAAAUGGGAGCUGGACUUGAGUGAUCCCAACGCUUUUCUCACCGAAAAGUGGCGGGUUACUUGAAAUGCAGGUGCAGCUUGACUUUUCUCUGAGCUAAAAGCAUAUCUAUUUAGUCUGCCUAAAAAACAGAUUAUUACCUUUGCUGCAGCUAACAUAAAGGAGAUUAGUUCUUGUGCUGACUGAUGCAGGAUUCACAGAGACAGCUUCGGCUGGCCUUUGUAAACUCGAUCUCAAAUCAAGUAAGACUACCCGCUGAACUUAAGCAUAUCAAUAAGCGGAGGA